rnacentral:rRNA from 1 species
CUAGACCUGAAAUCAGUCGAGGAUACCCGCUGAAUUUAAGCAUAUUAUUAAGCGGAGGAAAAGAAAAUAAUAUGAUUCCCUCAGUAACGGCGA